GACGAACGCUGGCGGCGUGCUUAACACAUGCAAGUCGAACGGUGAAGCGCCUUCCUUUUUGGUGGGUGUGGAUGAGUGGCGAACGGGUGAGUAACACGUGAGUAACCUGCCCCCUUCUUCUGGAUAACCGCAUGAAAGUGUGGCUAAUACGGGAUAUUCUGGGUCUGUCGCAUGAUGGGUCUGGGAAAGAUAUUGUUUCGGUGGGGGAUGGGCUCGCGGCCUAUCAGCUUGUUGGUGGGGUGAUGGCCUACCAAGGCGGUGACGGGUAGCCGGCCUGAGAGGGCGGACGGUCACACUGGGACUGCGACACGGCCCAGACUCCUACGGGAGGCAGCAGUGGGGAAUAUUGCACAAUGGGCGCAAGCCUGAUGCAGCGACGCCGCGUGAGGGAUGGAGGCCUUCGGGUUGUGAACCUCUUUCGCCAGUGAAGCAGGCCUGCCUCGUUUGUGGGUGGGUUGACGGUAGCUGGAUAAGAAGCGCCGGCUAACUACGUG
rnacentral:rRNA from 1 species